rnacentral:lncRNA from 12 species
GAUCUUUCAACACAAUACAUAUAUUUUAGACUCACUGCUUGACAUAAGAGCAAAAGAAUCUCAUUGAAUCUCAUUUGCCCAAAUGUAUACUCAAGAUUGUCACACAACUGAACAAUAAGAUAUCCAAAACUUGGCACCACCACCACAUGGAAGUGAUACUCUAGAAUAUAUUCAUAAGAAAAAAAUUAUUUAUGUCAGGAAGGUAAGACAGAUCCAAAGUGAACGUAACAUUUCAACUCCAACUCUCAUUUAGUCUGACCCUCUGGGACCUAAUCAAUUUUAUCAUCUCUGUUUCUUCAUCAGACACGCAUGAAUUGAAGCAUAUUUCCUAGACAUCUAGGAUAAUGCUAACUAUGUGCCUACCUUGGGAGAAUUGAGAAGAAGGCCACACAUAUCCUUUUCU